rnacentral:tRNA from 1 species
CAGGGUGUGGGAAAGCCUGGUAUUCCGCGUGUUCCGGAAACACGAGAUCGCUGGUUCAAAUCCAGCCAUCCUGAC